GGAGUAAAGCUUGCUGUGAGAAGUCAGCAGACGCCAUAGUACGCUUAUCGUGCAAGCGACAAGCGGAAGGGC
rfam:Paenibacillus sp. 1DrF-4 C1049, whole genome shotgun sequence.